GAUGAACGCUGGCGGCGUGCCUAAUACAUGCAAGUCGAGCGAACGGACGAGAAGCUUGCUUCUCUGAUGUUAGCGGCGGACGGGUGAGUAACACGUGGAUAACCUACCUAUAAGACUGGGAUAACUUCGGGAAACCGGAGCUAAUACCGGAUGAUAUUUUGAACCGCAUGGUUCAAAAGUGAAAGACGGUCUUGCUGUCACUUAUAGAUGGAUCCGCGCUGCAUUAGCUAGUUGGUAAGGUAACGGCUUACCAAGGCAACGAUGCAUAGCCGACCUGCGAGGGUGAUCGGCCACACUGGAACUGAGACACGGUCCAGACUCCUACGGGAGGCAGCAGUAGGGAAUCUUCCGCAAUGGGCGAAAGCCUGACGGAGCAACGCCGCGUGAGUGAUGAAGGUCUUCGGAUCGUAAAACUCUGUUAUUAGGGAAGAACAUAUGUGUAAGUAACUGUGCACAUCUUGACGGUACCUAAUCAGAAAGCCACGGCUAACUACGUG
rnacentral:rRNA from 1 species